AUAUUUUCGUAUUAUGUGCUUGUGCUUGCAAAGCAGUGUUGGAGGCUCUUGAGUGAGCCAGAUUUGUUAUGUGCCAGAAUAUUAAGAGCAAAAUAUUUUCCAGAGGGCAACCUCCUUACGUGCAGCUUAAAGAAGGGUAGCUCUUACACCUGGCAAAGCAUUUGGAGUGGUAUUCAGACCUUCAAGAAAGGUCAUAUAUGAAGAGUAGGAGAUGGGUCUCAAAUAAACAUAUGGGAGGACUCUUGGGUACUAAGCAGCCCCACUCGGAAAGUCAUGACACCAAGGGCGAACAUUGAAAUUACCAAGAUGUCGGAACUCAUUGAUGCGGAUAAUAGAGCUUGGGAUGAACAGUUAAUUAAUGAUCUAUUUUGGCCAAUUGAUGCACAACGUAUUCUCAACAUUCCUUUGGCUCUAGGGAUGAUGGAUGAUUUUGUUUCUUGGCAUUUUAAUAGAAGCGGAAAUUUUACACGGAGGGCAGCGUAUCAUGAAGAAUGGGAACACCAACACGGAUGAAAGUUGAGGAUGACAAAUUCGAUACAAGCCUCAAGUACUAGUCCAGUUUGGAGGACCAUUUGGAAACUACGUGUGCCUUCAAAAGUGAAAAUUCAUGUGUGGAAAAAUUUGCUUGGUGCUCUUCCAUGUCAAGGACUCUUGGCGAACAGACACAUAAUUUCGAGUUCUCAAUGCCCCUUAUGCAGUUCAGAUUGUGAAAGCAUUCGGCAUGCUUUAUUCUUGUGCCCUCGAGUACAGGAGGUGUAGUGUUUACUAGGUAUGGCAGCUGUGGUG
rnacentral:rRNA from 1 species